rnacentral:rRNA from 1 species
ACGGAGGGAGCUAGCGUUGUUCGGAAUUACUGGGCGUAAAGCGCGCGUAGGCGGUUACUCAAGUCAGAGGUGAAAGCCCGGAGCUCAACUCCGGAACUGCCUUUGAAACUAGGUGACUAGAAUCUUGGAGAGGCGAGUGGAAUUCCGAGUGUAGAGGUGAAAUUCGUAGAUAUUCGGAAGAACACCAGUGGCGAAGGCGACUCGCUGGACAAGUAUUGACGCUGAGGUGCGAAAGCGUGGGGAGCAAACAGG